GCGCGAGUGGUGAAAUUGGCAGACACGCAGGAUUUAGGUUCCUGUGCCUUCGGGCGUGGGGGUUCAAAUCCCCCCUUGCGCACCU
rnacentral:tRNA from 1 species